rnacentral:rRNA from 1 species
GGAGGCAGCAGUGGGGAAUUUUCCGCAAUGGGCGAAAGCCUGACGGAGCAACGCCGCGUGAGGGAUGAAGGCCUCUGGGCUGUAAACCUCUUUUCUCAAGGAAGAAGAUCUGACGGUACUUGAGGAAUAAGCCACGGCUAAUUCCGUGCCAGCAGCCGCGGUAAUACGGGAGUGGCAAGCGUUAUCCGGAAUUAUUGGGCGUAAAGCGUCCGCAGGCGGCCCUUCAAGUCUGCUGUUAAAAAGUGGAGCUUAACUCCAUCGUGGCAGUGGAAACUGUUGGGCUAGAGUGUGGUAGGGGCAGAGGGAAUUCCCGGKGUAGCGGUGAAAUGCGUAGAUAUCGGGAAGAACACCAGUGGCGAAGGCGCUCUGCUGGGCCAUAACUGACGCUCAUGGACGAAAGCCAGGGGAGCGAAAGGGAUUAGAUACCCCUGUAGUCCUGGCCGUAAACGAUGAACACUAGGUGUCGGGGGAAUCGACCCCCUCGGUGUCGUAGCCAACGCGUUAAGUGUUCCGCCUGGGGAGUACGCACGCAAGUGUGAAACUCAAAGGAAUUGACGGGGGCCCGCACAAGCGGUGGAGUAUGUGGUUUAAUUCGAUGCAACGCGAAGAACCUUACCAGGGUUUGACAUCCUGCGAAUCUCCUGGAAACGGGAGAGUGCCUUCGGGAACGCAGUGACAGGUGGUGCAUGGCUGUCGUCAGCUCGUGUCGUGAGAUGUUGGGUUAAGUCCC